GCGGCUGGGCCCCGCCCCCGCCCGCGGCGCUCGCUCCGGGCAGCGGAGCCCGGUUCCGCUCGGUUCCACCCGACUUCAGCCCGGUUCGGCUCGGCCCGGCUCGGUUCUGCCCGACUUCGGUCCGGCUCGGAUCGGCUCGGCCCGGCCCAGCCCGGCUCGGUUCGGUUCGCCCCGCCGCGCUCCGGAGGCAGGCUGCCGGCACUCGUGUGACGCACGGCGUCUCCCGGCCCGCGCGGCGCGAGGACGUGAACUUUAGUCUCCGAGCAAUUAAGGUGCCUGAAACUGCACUUCAUUAAUGGUUGUUAUGCAAUAAAAGCGAUAAAACUGCCCUUA